GCCUAUCCUCAUAUUUCCCUCUUAUUUUUUAAGGUGUUAGAUUACUGCAAAACCAGUGCUCUUUAACACUGUAACACACUUCAGAGGACACUUUGUGAAUUCUCAGAUGCCACACAAUUUCCAGGGAUAUUGUGAGACCUCUGAUAAGAUUUGUGUACAGCUUACACCUACUUAAUAUAUGGAUAAAUAUCCAGUAAAAUACAAAAUAAAUAGGAUUUCUCUUCACAAACAACAAGGUUGCAAGCACGAAGUGAAAUCUGCACAGAGAGAAAAAGAGCUCUGUCAUGUUGAGUGCUGACCUCAUGUUGAGUGAGUCAUAGAUUUUCUUUUUGUUCUAAGAUUGGAAAAUUCCAGGAAAAGAAACAUUUUGGAGAACGACAGAAAACAACUGGACCCAAGCUCAAGUCCUCAGAGAUAACAUCCUGUACUUAAAAUCUUUAAGUUGUUAUUGAGGGCGGGGAGAGAGAGAGAGAGAGAGAGAGAGAGAGAGAGAGAGAGAGAGAGAGAGAGAGAGAGAGAGAGAGAGAGAGAGAGUGUGUGUGUGUAGAGGAAGAGGAGAAGGGGGAGAUAAACAGCGGCAGAAAGAAAACACAUGCACGCAGUUAUGCUUCUUUAUACUCACCUUAUCCUUCCCUAUUCUGUAUUACUAAGACAUCCACUGGACCCAUUGCCUCUGGCUUCUGGUUGGAUUCAGCCACUGGAGAGCUUCAACAAACGCAGAAAGAAGGAAGCUACAUCUGUGGAAAACUAAGACUCCGCCUGUGUCCCGGAGGUGCCACUCCUCUCAAGGCAUCACUCUCCAUAGGAUCUUCCCAUUUUGGGUUCCAGUAACCUCUUAUUCCUCUCAUCCCUUCAGGCCUAGGGAUGGUAAUGAUUUGGCCAUUUCAAACUCUAGGGUAAUGGAGCUUCCCUUACACCCUCAAUAACUUUGUAGUUUAUUAGGCUUUCUUGAGUUACCCUAAUUUGCACAUGGCAUCUGUUUCCUGUUAGGACACUGACUGAUAUAUAACUCUAGAGAUCCUCAAACUUUAGGGUGUAUUAAAGUCACCUGACUUGCUAAAGCAGAGAUUGCUGAAUAACACCUCUGUAGUUUCUGAUUGAAUAGGUCUGGAUUGGGACCUCAGAAUUUAUGCCUGUAACAAUUUUCCAGUUGAUUCUUAAAGAUUACACUUUAUGAAUCACUCUGCUACUACUCUAUUGUGUCUCAAGCUUAAUGGGACUUAGCCACCAUUGGUCUAGGAGGAGGAACAGUAGCUAUUACAGUCCUGAGUUCCUUUGAGGAAAAACUACUUGGUGAGUGUGAGAAUAUGCCAGAAGUCCUAGAACUUUAAGAUCAUGGGAGAAGAUUAUAAAACAUCUUAGCUGUUAGCAGGAUCACUCUCUCUGGUUUCAGUGAGUAGAAGAACAUAAAAAGGCUAUUUCUUUGAUUUAGCUUUUUUCUUCCUUAAAAUACAUGAAAUCUAGUUUAGUUGGAAAAUUUUUAUAUACAAAUUUUUCUUUGGAAGCAUAAACAGUAGCAUGUUAAAUUACAUAGCUUGAGAAAUAUUACUAAUUUUCUUCUCUAAAUGGCUAGUAGAAAAAGGAGGAUGUAAAGAGAAAAAUGUCUAGGCUUUUAAAAGGUUAUCUAGAUCUCUUUAAUCGAUUGUAAACUAGUGGGAGGGAGUCAAUAUUCCAAUAUUAAUUGAGCACCUACUAUCUGCCAGUCUCCUAUCAAAAUUAACUCCUUUUAUCCUCCCCUAGAAAUCAAAGUAAUAGAUAGAUGAGGACACAGAGAGAAACAUGAGAAGUUAAAUAGCUUGUCCAAUUUCCACAGCUCAUGAUAAAGUUGGUAUUGGAACCGAAUGCCUAUCUCCAAUGGCUACAAUUUUCCCACUAAGCCACACUGGUCCCAAAAUAGAACACAAAGCUUGUUAUGGAUGCUAUACUGCCUUCAGGACUGUGCUUGGCCCGCUGACAGCUCUCAACCCUCAGUCACUGCCCUUGGCUGGAGAGGACUGAUUUGCUAGGCUGCCUCUACUCACUGAGGAGUUUACUGAGAUUGCAUCAAGUUCUGGGCCCAUUGGCAAACUAGAGCCAAACUAUUCCCUCUGCCUACUUCUGCUUCCUUUCCAUGGUGGCUAAUCCAGAGAACAUUCCCUAGUAAAUUGACUUCAUGAUCAUUUCCAUCUCAGUGACUGUUUUCUGAGAACCUAACCUGUGGCAAAGAUAGCCUCUUUUGCUCAUUUAAAUUGAUAAGAAAACAAGGAAUCGCUCAUAGAAUCAUAAAUUUUCUUAUAUUGUAAGGUGGUUAAUAAUUUUAACACUCAGUACUUCAUUUAAAAAUAUAAGCAGUGAUUUAACUGAAAAGGUCAGUAGCUUCUAUAUGAUCUUGAAUAUAGACGGAGUUCUAACAUAAAAAACAAACAGAAAAAUGCCAUGGACAGCCAUCAGUAUGAUUACAGAGAGAAUAGAAAGUAAGAAUUAAUCUAGCAAGGCAGUUAAUUUAAAGUUGGUCAAAAGAGCUUCUACUAAAUUUCCAAACCCUAAGGGAUGACUGGAUUAUUCUCAAGUUGUCAAUGUUGCCUGGCAAUUAAUUCAUUUACUUUCUUAAAAAGGGAUUUAAUUUUUAUAUUUUCCAUCCAACGGCCUUUCUCUAAUCUACCUGCCAGUAAUACCUAUUGCUUCUAAAAUAUGGUGGAAGAAUCCUGUUUUACAUGAUCAUCAUCAUGUUAUAUAUUUUCAAAGAAUGAAUAUUUGAAGAAUUAAAUAGUGAGACAAACUUGGGGAGCAGGGGUUGAACACAAGGUUUUUGGAGUGGCUGUGGGUGUCUGGACUGAGAUUUUUAAAUACUUCUUUCUCCAACUCAUCAGCACAAUUUAAAAAGUCACUGGCUCAACAAUUACAAAAAUUAAGCCAGAGUAUGUCUGUGUAUUUGUGUGGGAAUAAGGGGAUAUGUUAUGUUUGUGGGGUCAAAUCCAGAAGAAAAAUGCAAUCAUAAUUCUUAAAAAACAAACUCUGAAGUUUUUCAAUAAAUACCAGUGCUUCCCAGUGGCUUGUUGGGCUUUGAUAUACCUCUCUUCACUUACCAGGGAUUAGAGAUGAACUCACAAACUAAUUGUCGGUCAUGUAAGAUGUGAACAAUUUUGCCACAGUCAAAUACCAUCAUUUUAGAAAAUAUUAUUUUUUCUCAAGAAAUCAAGAUAACCAGCUUCAAUACAAUAAAUGCUAAUCAAAUUUUUUGAUUCGGAAUUAAGAAUAAAACUAUUUAAGGUAAAUAUUUUGAAGUAUUAAUAUAAUUUUUCUCUGAAAGUAGAGCUAUACAGUAGCUAUGAGAGAAGAAUGUUGUCUUCAAUUUAUUCUGUCUUUUUACAGUGAAAUAAUAGAAUCUCAAUGUAAAGGUGUAUUUGAUAUUAUUCAUCAUUUGUAAGUACAGGAGCAGGCCCAGAGAGGUAAAGUAACUCAGCAAAGAUUACACACUAAUGAUAAACCAGAAUUAAAACUCAAGUUUCUUGACAUAGAAUUCUAUUUUACCUACAACUUGUAUUUCUACUUAUUAACACAACACAAUCCAUCCAUCAAUAUAUUCUACUAUAAAAAUAAAUAAAAAAUAAAUUAAAAACUUAGAAGGUCUUGGUUUUAGAUUUAUUUUAAUAUACAGCUAAAUUAUAUUUGAUAUCAAUAAAUGAUUAUAAUGCUAAAAGAAGAAAUAAUUUUAGCUUCUCAGAGCUGCCAAAUGUAAAAAGAAUUCUAAUAUAGGUAUUAGCACAUUCUAGACUUUUCUGUGCUAACAAACAUCGUCAUAACAAAUAUUAGUGUCCAUAUUACACAUAGUGGAGGCUGGUGGAAGCUUCACCAUCUUGUAGCUGCAUAAUCUGCAUGAAUAUGUGGGAUCAGAUGUUGUAAAUAAAAAAUGUCUCACUCAGAGGAUAAGAAACUGGAGAUUGCACAUAGGCUUUCAAAAAAGCCUCAGUUAGAAAGCGUCAUGUUGCGAGGCAGUCAGAAAGCAUAAGCAUUGGUGAGCAUUAACGUCUCUAUCACAUUUUAACUUCUUAUACAUCUUCUGCUUACAGAGUAUAAGAUAGUAUUGCAUAGAUUCUGAUUUAGCUAAGUCUUCUCCUGGUGUUUCAAGUGGUUUCAUGAGUUUGUGAAUAUGGUCUCUUGACCCCGGUUACAUUGCCUGCAUUUUCCCAUGUUUUAUGUAUAAUACAUACCAAAUACAAGAUCAUCCAUUUCUCUGUGAUCUGAAGACAUUCUUAGUAUAAAAAUGUAUAAUAUCUGAUUAAUAAAUUUUUAUAUUGAUUACAUGUUGAAAUGCUAUUUUGGAUAUGUUAUUGGAUAUAUUAUUUUGGAUAUAUUAUUUUAAUUAAUUUUAUCCCUUUACUCUUUUCGAUGUUACUCUUAACUGUGAAGGUCUGAGUUUUUAAUCCUACUUUCAGGCUAACAAGUUAGCCUGCCACAUUUUAAUGGAUGCUAACAGAAGACAUGAUUCUCCUUGGUCAGAAAUAAAGGAAUGUAUUACUCAUGCUACAGCCAACAACAUGAGUUUUGUGUUUGGAAACAAUCAGUUCCCAUUGUUCCUACAAGUCCUUUGGGAACAGUGCAGCGUAGCCCAAGUGGACUGUGUAUGUGCAGUGGGUUCAUUUAACAGCUGAGGGAAUUAAAAUCCUUUAUGAUGAGCUAGAAGCAAACCUACAUCAUUUCUUCAUUGGAGAGAGAC
rnacentral:lncRNA from 1 species